rnacentral:tRNA from 1 species
GUUUUAAUAAUUUAAUAAAAAUAUAAGUUUUGUAAACUUAAAUUAGGCAAACCUUUAAAACA